rnacentral:rRNA from 1 species
UACGGAGGGGGCUAGCGUUGUUCGGAUUCACUGGGCGUAAAGGGUGCGUAGGCGGUCGGGUAAGUCUGAUGUGAAAUCUCACAGCUUAACUGUGAAACUGCAUUGGAUACUAUCCGGCUAGAGGAAUGGAGGGGAGACUGGAAUACUUGGUGUAGCAGUGAAAUGCGUAGAUAUCAAGUGGAACACCAGUGGCGAAGGCGAGUCUCUGGACAUUUCCUGACGCUGAGGCACGAAAGCGUGGGGAUCAAACAGG